rnacentral:rRNA from 1 species
GUAUAUUGACUGUACAAAGGUAGCAUAAUCAUUAGUCAUUUAAUUGAUGACUUGUAUGAAAGAUUGGAUGAAAUAUAGGCUGUCUCUUAGUUAAAAAUAGAAUUUAAUUUUUUAAUUAAAAAGUUAAAAUAAUUUAAAAAGACGAGAAGACCCUAUAGAGUUUUAUAAAUAAAUUAAUUAAGAUUAUUUAUUAAAAUUAAAAUUAAUUUAUUUAUUCUAUUGGGGUGAUAGAAAAAUAUAUUUAACUUUUUUUUUAUGUAAACAUUUAUAAGUGAUUAAAUGAUCCAUUAUUAAUGAUUAUAAGAAAAAAUUACCUUAGGGAUAACAGCGUAAUUUUUUUUUUUAGUUCACAUAAGAAAAAGAGUUUGCGACCUCGAUGUUGGAUUAAGAUAAAAUUUAAAUGCAGAAG